GCGGGGCCUUUCCACUGUAGGUAUCGGGUGGCUGGUGGUGAGUUUCUAUAGACCGGUCCGCGGACCGCAAGGGCGAGGGAGCCAUAGCUUUUCUAGUUUCUCGAACGAUGUCCUCGGGGAGCCUAACUGGAGGGCGGCGGGCGGCUGCGUCCACGCGGGCCUCGGGGCGGGCGCCGUGGCCUUGUGUCCGAGUUUGCCGGCCGAGGCCCGAGGACCGCGUGCGUCUUCGUCCGGCCGGGCAGCCGCCGUCUCGGGAUCCCUGACCCCGGGCUCGCCUCUGGGAGUGAGCACCCCCAGAGAGAACUAGAGGGCAGACCCACUCGCUUUUGGAGACGGGAGCAGCAUCCCUACCCGAGGUUAAGAGCCAGUCAGGGUUGCAGGUCGGUGAAGGGUGGCCAGCGCGUGAUCACCAAUAGCUGGGCAUGGGAGCCCAAGCCUUGGCCCGCUCCGAGGUCUUGAGCACUGAAGAGUGGGAUCGGCGCAGCAGAGUUCUAAAGCGGGCGGCGGCGGCAGCAGCACCCCAGCCCAAGAAGAGGCUAUGCUGCAGCAGGGGCAGAAUUUUUUGAAGUCCAAAGGACCAGGCGUGGCCAUCGACUUGGACCCUGAAAACCUAGGCUCCCACGUUUGGUGUAGAAACACCUUGUGCUGAGUAUCAGAGGGCCAUUCUUACCAAUGAGGGAGCCAAGAAAUAGAU